rnacentral:rRNA from 1 species
GCACUUUCAAUAGAGAAGAAAAGCUUAGAGUUAAUAACUCUAAGCAUUGACGUAUCCUAUAGAAGAAGCACCGGCUAUAUCCGUGCCAGCAGCCGCG